rnacentral:rRNA from 1 species
CUACGGGGUGCUCCAGUGGGGAAUAUUGCACAAUGGGCGCAAGCCUGAUGCAGCCAUGCCGCGUGUAUGAAGAAGGCCUUCGGGUUGUAAAGUACUUUCAGCGGGGAGGAAGGGAGUAAAGUUAAUACCUUUGCUCAUUGACGUUACCCGCAGAAGAAGCACCGGCUAACUCCGUGCCAGCAGCCGCGGUAAUACGGAGGGUGCAAGCGUUAAUCGGAAUUACUGGGCGUAAAGCGCACGCAGGCGGUUUGUUAAGUCAGAUGUGAAAUCCCCGGGCUCAACCUGGGAACUGCAGCUGAUACCGGCAAGCUUGAGUCUCGUAGAGGGGGGUAGAAUUCCAGGUGUAGCGGUGAAAUGCGUAGAGAUCUGGAGAAAUACCGGUGGCGAAGGCGGCCCCCUGGACGAAGACUGACGCUCAGGUGCGAAAGCGUGGGGAGCAAACAGGAUUAGAUACCCUAGUAGUC